rnacentral:rRNA from 1 species
GUAGUCAUAUGCUUGUCUCAAAGAUUAAGCCAUGCAUGUCUAAGCAUAAGCAAUUUGUACGGUGAAACUGCGAAUGGCUCAUUAAAUCAGUUAUCGUUUAUUUGAUAGUACCUUACUACAUGGAUACCUGUGGUAAUUCUAGAGCUAAUACAUGCUUAAAACCCCGACUUCGGAAGGGGUGUAUUUAUUAGAUAAAAAACCAAUGCCCUUCGGGGCUCCUUGGUGAUUCAUAAUAACUCAUCGAAUCGCAUGGCCUUGCGCCGGCGAUGGUUCAUUCAAAUUUCUGCCCUAUCAACUUUCGGUGGUAGGAUAGUGGCCUACCAUGGUGGCAACGGGUAACGGGGAAU